rfam:Roseovarius sp. TM1035 1101493006648, whole genome shotgun sequence.
UGAUCGGGAGGCUGUCAUUGGGACGAUGGCCAUGAAUGGAUCAAACCCAGCCGUCUCGGAUGGACGCGGUGCUGAGCCCCAACAGCACGCGCG